rnacentral:lncRNA from 1 species
UCAAACUCAAUCACUUUAGAAUGCAAUAGGGGGAAAAUAACAAGCAUUAAAUCCAGAAGACACCGUAUGGUAUUAGGUAUAUAAAUGUUGGUUGGGACCCACACAAAGUAAGCAAGAGGAAAAAAGAAUGAUACAAAUGAAUGAAUAAAGCCAAUGCAAAUGCAUGUAUAUCCGCAUGGUGUCGUCUUCUGACAUGUAAUUGAAGUGAAUUGAUCAAGUGAGAUGAAGAGUGACCAUUUGCUUUAUUGAUUCCAUAAACCAAAAUCAUGUUCCUUUUUCAUCAAUUGAAUUAUAAGUUUUAACGUGCGGGCCAUGUUACUGUUUGUUCCUAUCAACAAGCAACAAGUUGUAGGACUUUGAAUCACUCACGUGCCACUGUCUAAAACAAUAGAUGAAUUUAGAGUGGGGUGAAUUAAUAUACAAUACAUGGUACAUUCCUAUGUAUGAUAAUUUUAUGGAGCCGAUCACAAUAUAUUGAAUUAAGGUUUGAAUUCUCGUUUUUAUAAAAAGAAAAUAGAAUUUUCUUAUUGAAAAAAUUAUUGAAUUAUAGAUUAGAUAUGUUUUUCGUCUCUAUAAAAUUUCAACUUUUUUAUUUUAGUCAAUGUAAAAUUAUCAUGCAUGCAGUUUUAGUUAUUACUAUUAGAUAAAUAUAUAUUUUUGAAUAAUUUUUUUUAAUAUAUUUAUAAUAAUAUAAAAAGUUCUUUCACAAAAAAUGAUCUCAACAUUCGACUUUUAAGUCUGUAUUUUCGUUACUUUCAUCAUGAAUUUUUUACAUUUCGAAAAUUCAUAUUUAAUUCAACAAAUUUUAAAAAUUUCUAAAUUUUUGUGAAAUAAUUUUUUAUAUUGUUCUAAAUAUGUUCAUAAAAAAUCAUUCAAAAAUUUUAAAAUUGGAUGACAUUUAAAAAUGUUUCAUUUUAACAUAAACUAAAACUAAUUACUGUAUUUUUAUUUUACACGAACUAAAAUUAAAAUGUUAAAAUUUUACUAAAAAUAUAUCUAACCAUUGAAUUAAUCCCUAUAACGGUGGUCCAAAUUCGCCAUUGUCCAUCUUUUGGUGCUAGAUCAUUGAUUUGAAUGCCUGUUGGUGCUAGAUCAUUGAUUUGAAUGUCAAGGAAUGCCUGUUGUAGAAAUCCGGACAACUUUGCAAACCAUGCAUAUUGAUAUAAUCCUUGAAUAGUGAAUUUAUAUGGUAGAUAGUAUGGACUAUGAAAUUAUAUAUAAGGGAUUGCAGCAUUUAAUAAAAUGAGAGCUUCUUUUCUGAUCUCGUACAUGUCCUUUAACUUCUAGAUAAAAUCUAUUCGAAAGUAUAUUUUUU